CGUGUACGUACGUACCCAGGCAGAACGCCUCUUGGACUGAACACUGUGUUACACGUACCCGGACAGACGGCCUCUUGGACUGAGCAGUGCAUAGCCCAGCGUAGGAAGCCCAGUCGGCACCCGACGCUUCAGAGAGAUGGGCCUUGGACCAGGAACAGAAGGCUUUGCUGCACGGUAAUACUUCUGAAAGGAAGCACAUGCCUAACACACCAGCCCCCAUCUGCCCUGCUCCGUUGACUCCUUUCAUGAAAGAUCUCUGAAAUGUUAUCUGCAUUUACACCCAAACUCAAUCGCUUUGAUCCUUGAAAGGGGAAUCAAAGAUCACAUUGUACCUUCCAAGGGUCUGUGGGGCUUUCAGUAGCCCGGGCCAAAAACAAUAAAAGUGGCAUCCAGCCAGGAAACACCUCCUUGAA